rnacentral:rRNA from 1 species
UGGGGAAUAUUGCGCAAUGGGCGAAAGCCUGACGCAGCGACGCCGCGUGAGGGAUGAAGGUUUUCGGAUCGUAAACCUCUGUCAGAAGGGAAGAAACCGCACUGUGCUAAUCAGCAGUGCCUUGACGGUACCUUCAAAGGAAGCACCGGCUAACUCCGUGCCAGCAGCCGCGGUAAUACGGAGGGUGCAAGCGUUAAUCGGAAUUACUGGGCGUAAAGCGCACGUAGGCUGCUUUGUAAGUUAGGGGUGAAAUCCCACGGCUCAACCGUGGAACUGCCUUUGAUACUGCUUAGCUUGAAUCCGGGAGAGGGUGGCGGAAUUCCAGGUGUAGGAGUGAAAUCCGUAGAUAUCUGGAGGAACAUCAGUGGCGAAGGCGGCCACCUGGACCGGUAUUGACGCUGAGGUGCGAAAGCGUGGGGAGCAAACAGG